CAACGUUAGAGAAGUUGCCCAACUUAAAACUCCUCCGCCUUUUUGGCAGCUUCUUUCAAAUGAAGAAUAUGGCUUGUUCUGAAAGAGGAUUUCUUGUACUUCAAACUCUUGUCAUUGGUUUUUGUGACAACUUAGAGCAGUGGAGGGUGGAGGAAGGAGCCAUGCCAAGUCUCAGCCAUUUGACAAUUGAUAGCUGCCAAAGCUUGAAGACUAUUCCAGAUGAAUUGAGGUUCAUCACAACCCUCAAGGAAUUGGAGAUCAAACACAUGCCAAAGUCAUUCAAAGAUAGACUUCAUGAAGGAGGACCCGAUUUUUACAAAGUCCAACAUGUGCAGAGAAUGGUAAUCAGGUGAAAUCAUCUAUGGUCUGCAACUGGUACGGGUUGGUGUUAGUUAUACAAUUUGAAUGAUAUGAUUGCCGAGACUUAUAAAACACAUUCUCUGAUGCUUAUGUGUUGUGAUGUAAAGAACUGUUUGUUUGGUGAUGGCACUCUACACUGUGAUAUUUUGUUGGCUGGUUUGUUUUUGCAUUAGUGUAUUUGUUUUAGUGUUGCUUUCUUGUUCCGCUUUGUUGGCUUUGCUAUGAUUGCACUCUGUGUUGAUGUAUUUUGUUGAAUAGAAAGAAAACCAAUGUAUCAUUGGAGGAGAAACAUAAUUCUUCAUUUAAUAUGGGAUUCCUCAUAUUUCUUUGAGUAA